GCCAUGUGUGCUUCAUUGCAAUAUAUGAGAGAAACAGCAGCUGUUUUGGAAUCCCUUACAAGAAUAAUAAAACUGAGAGAGAAGGACAGCAUCCGGGUCUGAACCAGUAAGGAGGGGCUGAGUCCUUAGGAAACAUAGCUCUAAAACUGGAGUUUAUACAUUGAGCUGCAUCUCAGUUAAUAAAGUACCGUAGGUAUAUUCUUGGGUAUUACUUCUUUAACAGAGGUUUUGGUGCCAGAGGCAAAAAUAGCAUGGAGAGAAUAGGGAUUGGUUCCUACAUCAUAGAAAAGUAAGAGCAACUUGAACAUGCUUCAGUGGAUUUUUAAUUUGGAAUUUAAGAUAUGCACAUGUGAAAUGAAAGGAGGUCAGGAUAUUGAUGCAGGAAAUCUGGGGACAAACUGCCUGAAAGGAGGAAUUAUUCUCUACUUAAAGAAUCAUUCCAGAGAUGAUUUUCAGUACACUGGCAUCAGUCUACACACACAAGGAUAUGAAAGUGUAUGUUACUGCCUGAGGAAACAAGUUUAAGCUUACUGAUGUUUCUGAAGACCUUUGAAGUUGAUGAGCCGACAGGAAGCACAAGAGCUUGGAAUGUUACCUUUUUUGUGGAUGACAGCUCCCAGAAUCCACCCGCCAGCACCAGCUUUCACAGAAAGGCAAAGGAUUGCUUGCAAAGUGUCCGUACUGUUCAAAUGAAUGUUAUUACAAAGUAGAGUUUCAAGUGGAAGGAGCUGUGGAAGGAAUGGGGAGGAGAGUGCUUAUGCAUUUGGUGCAUUUACGCCUCAUCAAAACAAGCGAGGAAACACAGAUGUGCACAAAAUGGUCAUGUCGUCAUUUAUAGUUCGAGGUCAGGGGUGAUAAUUGCAUAGCUCUCCAAAUGCUAUUGGACUUCAACUCUCAUUAGCCCUCAUCUCUGGCAAUGCUGAUUACGGCUCAUAGCAGAUGCAGUUCAAUGUAAUCACCAUUCACCUCAUCUCAACAAUGGGUACAUAUGACAUAUUGCACAUGAUAAUGACAUUAACUCUGGCUGUUCAAUUUGCAGGAAAUAGUUUCCACACAUAAUCAUAAAUUUCAUGGUUAGUCCCAAGUACAGUAGCUCCAUUGGAUCAACUGGUUUUACCCAUGUGUGACUUCCUUUUCAACAAUUGAUUUAAUAGGUCUUCUUUAGCUGGACCUGACCAACAGGAUCCUGACCAUAAAAAUGGAAUGCAAAUAAUGUUAGAACAAGAUAAUAUCUCCACAACAAUGGACAAAGAGAAUAUCCCUGCAAAGGAAUCUUUCUCUGCCAUAUGUGACACAUCUAUGAUAAAUAUGCAUUCAUUUUACUUAAGACUCUGGGAAGACCAAUUUAUGUUCUAGAACAUGUCACCAUUUGGGAAUUCAGCAAAAGAUGCAUGACCUCUACUUAUGAAAUGAAGUGAUGAGGUAUAGAUUGUACUUCAACAGUUGUCUAUAUAUAUCACACACUAUUGAACACAUACCUAUAUUAUUAAUGCUAGUGAUUCUUUCUACAAUGAGCUAUAAACCAUUAGUAAAUGAGUACUACUUCACAGACUAAUGUGAUAUUUUAAUUACAUUUGUAAAUGUUGUUGAACCAUAGGAAGAAUACUGUCUUCCCCUCAGAUUUGAGAAGGUGUUCCUAUAAUAAAGUCAUAUCAGAA